rnacentral:rRNA from 1 species
GAUGAACGUUGGCGGCGUGCCUAACACAUGCAAGUCGAACGCAAGUAGCAAUAUUUGAGUGGCGCACGGGUGAGUAACACGUAGCUUACCUCCCCCCGAGAGUGGGAUAACGGUUCGAAAGAGCUGCUAAUACCGCAUAAGCUCACGGUCUCUAGAGGGCUGUGAGAAAAGGGGAAACUCGCGUUGGGGACGGGGCUGCGGCCCAUCAGCUAGUUGGUGAGGU